GACAGAGGGUGCGAACGUUGUUCGGAAUUACUGGGCGUAAAGCGCGUGUAGGCGGCAGCGCAAGUCGGGCGUGAAAUCCCACGGCUCAACCGUGGAAGUGCACUCGAAACUGCGCAGCUAGAGUCCUGGAGAGGAAGGUGGAAUGCUUGGUGUAGAGGUGAAAUUCGUGAGAUAUCAAGCGGAACACCGGUGGCGAAGGCGCCUCUGGGACAGUGACUGGACGCUUGAGA
rnacentral:rRNA from 1 species